rnacentral:sRNA from 1 species
GCAACAAUAUGCCAAAAUGAGACUCACCUGGUCUAUAUUUUUGGUUUUUGUUUUGUUUUUGAGACAGAGUUGUUUUCUCUCGCCCACGCUGGAGUGUAGUGGUGUGAUCUUGGCUUACUGCAGCCUCCGCCUCCUGGGUUUGAGCAGUUCUCUUGUCUCAGCCUCCCGAGUACCUGGGACUACAGGCGUGUGCCACCACACCCAGCUAAUUGUAGAGUUGGGGUUUUACUAUGUUGGCCAGGCUGGUCUGGAAUUCCUGACCUCAGGUGAUCCACCCGCCUCGGCCUCCCCAAGUGCUGGGAUUAUAGGGGUGAGCCACCACACCCGGCCUGGUCCAUGUUUAUGAGAAGUGAUAGUGUAGUAGAUAUUUUGGAGAGCAUAGUGGUUAAAAAUAAAGCUUCAGUUGAGCUUCAUGUUCUUUGGUUGAUUACUUUUACAUGUACAUGUCAAUCUUUUCCCUUUCAGUCUUCCCAUGCACAAGAUGAUUAAUACAGAUCUUAGCAGAAUCUUGAAAAGCCCAGAGAUCCAAAGAGCCCUUCGAGCACCACGCAAGAAGAUUCAUCGCAGAGUCCUAAAGAAGAACCCACUGAAAAACUUGAGAAUCAUGUUGAAGCUAAACCCAUAUGCAAAGACCAUGCGCCGGAACACCAUUCUUCGCCAGGCCAGGAAU